rnacentral:rRNA from 1 species
AACGAACGCUGGCGGCAGGCUUAACACAUGCAAGUCGAGCGCCCCGCAAGGGGAGCGGCAGACGGGUGAGUAACGCGUGGGAACCUACCCUUUUCUACGGAAUCACGCAUGGACACGAGUGUUCAUAGCGUAUACGCCCUACGGGGGAAAGAUUUAUCGGAGAAGGCAGGGCACGCGUUGGAUUAGCUAGUUGGUGAGGUAUAGGCCGACCAAGGCGACGAUCCAUAGCUGGGCUGAGAGGAUGAUCAGCAACAUUGGGACUGAGACACGGCCCAAACUCCUACGGGAGGCAGCAGUGGGGAAUAUUGGACAAUGGGCGCAAGCCUGAUACAGCCAUGCCGCGUGAGUGAUGAAGGCCCUAGGGUCGUAAAGCUCUUUCACCGGAGAAGAUAAUGACGGUAUCCGGAGAAGAAGCCCCGGCUAACUUCGUGCCAGCAGCCGCGGUAAUAC